GAUGAAGAACGUAGCGAAAUGCGAUAAGUAAUGUGAAUUGCAGAAUUCAGUGAAUCAUCGAAUCUUUGAACGCACAUUGCGCCCGCCAGUAUUCUGGCGGGCAUGCCUGUUCGAGCGUCAUUUCAACCAUCAAGCCCCCGGCUUGUGUUGGGGACCUGCGGCUGCCGCAGGCCCUGAAAACCAGUGGCGGGCUCGCUAGUCACUCCGAGCGUAGUAAUACAUUUCGCUCAGGGCGUGCUGCGGGUUCCGGCCGUUAAAAAGCCUUAUUUACCCAAGGUUGACCUCGGAUCAGGUAGGAAGACCCGCUGAACUUAAGCAUAUCAAUAAGCGGAGGA
rnacentral:misc_RNA from 1 species